AACGUGUUUUGAAAUGGAUUAAGAGCUAAAGAGAGAGGGUGGCGCCGUUUCUCCAGGCAAUCUGAGAAAUUGUAUAAAAGUCCUCACAACUCAGGUUUCUUGAACCACUUCUCUCGACUUCUCCUCCUCGAUAACUUGGGUUUACUUUCAACGCAGGGAGAUGACUUACCAGCACCAAAAGAUUUCUCAUUGCUGGGGCUAUAGCCCAUGCAGUUAUGGGAGCGGUGGCGGCUACCGGGGCCACUACGACUGCUAUCGGCCAGGGUGCUACUCUAGGCCCUAUAGAUGUGGCUGGGGGUAUGACAAUGGCUGUUACUACCCUUCUUCUUCCCGUUGGGGCCAUGGGUGUGGGUACCAAUAUGGAAGAUGCUGGCCAUGUUAAAUCCCGCAAGAAGAGCCUCAGAACAAGGAACAACCAGGAAAUGAAAAGCAGGAGAUGGAUUCACAACUGAGCUCACGGGCAAUGGCUUUCUGAAAUGCUGACCCUCCACAACCCCUCAGAUCUGUGAGCGGUCAGCAAUUCUGUCCAUUUGCCCCACAUCUGUAUUUCCCAAAUUCCUCUUUAUUAUUGUUCCUUCUACUCUCCACUUCUCCUUUAAUUAUCUGAAGGCCUGAAGCUCAAUCCCAUGAAGGUCCCUUUAGGCCGGUGUGACAGUCAGUGACCUAGGGAUCUGCGGGUUGGGACAAACAACAUUUAUACUCACUCAGUGCCCCUUCCUGGCAAGAGAGGCCUGUGCCUUGUUUUAAGCCCUUUCUUUAACUAAAUGUCUUUUCUUUUUUCAUGUAACUGUGCCAUGGAAAACGUAUCAUGGAGAAGCAGCGUAGCGCUCUGCUUGUGCUGGGCUUUGUCUCGUUUGACCCUAAGAUUAAAUAAGUGCAGUAAAAUCAUUGCAAGCAAAACUCAGUUAUCAAACUCCCCAGGAGCCACGAAGCAAGAAGAACAUCUGGUGUGAAACAUCACCUCAGAAGGGGUGAUUCUUGGCAGACCCUCUCAGAAACCUGGAGACGUGGCCUUUCUUCUCUGCAUUGUUUCUGUCUGCACCCAUGUAUGCCUUUUCUUAUUCACAGUAAACUUUUUGCAUCA